rnacentral:rRNA from 1 species
CCUACGGGUGGCUGCAGUGGGGAAUAUUGGACAAUGGGGGCAACCCUGAUCCAGCCAUGCCGCGUGUGUGAAGAAGGCCCUCGGGUUGUAAAGCACCUUCAGUGAGGAAGAACGCCUGGUGGUUAAUACCCAUCAGGAAAGACAUCACUCACAGAAGAAGCACCGGCUAACUCCGUGCCAGCAGCCGCGGUAAUACGGAGGGUGCGAGCGUUAAUCGGAAUUACUGGGCGUAAAGCGCGCGUAGGUGGCUUGAUAAGCCGGUUGUGAAAGCCCCGGGCUCAACCUGGGAACGGCAUCCGGAACUGUCAAGCUAGAGUGCAGGAGAGGAAGGUAGAAUUCCCGGUGUAGCGGUGAAAUGCGUAGAGAUCGGGAGGAAUACCAGUGGCGAAGGCGGCCUUCUGGACUGACACUGACACUGAGGUGCGAAAGCGUGGGUAGCAAACAGGAUUAGAUACCCUUGUAGUC